AUGUCCAUGUCCAGCGGCGGCCCGUCGGCGCCGCAGCGCCAGCCCUCCAUGGGUAGGCGGAACAUCUCCCGGGCAAUCACCAUGAGGACGGAUGGAUACUCCGGCGAGGAGGAAGGACCCAUCAUAGAGAGCGAGCUCGUGCCAUCCUCCCUCGCGCCCAUCGUGCCCAUUCUCCGUGCGGCCAACGAGAUCGAGGACGAAAACCCGCGCGUCGCAUACCUCUGCCGUUUUACUGCAUUCGAGAAGGCGCACACCAUGGAUCCAAACUCAAGUGGCCGUGGAGUCCGGCAGUUCAAAACCUAUCUCUUGCAUAGGCUGGAAAAGGAUGAAAAAGAUACACAACGCAGGCUUGCAUCAACUGAUGCAAAAGAGAUUCAGAGGUUCUAUGAACACUAUUGUAAAAAAUAUCUUGAGGAGGGUCUUCAAACGAGAAAGCCGGAUGAGAUGGCUAGAUACUAUCAGAUUGCAUCUGUCCUAUAUGAUGUGUUAAAAACUGUGACACCUGACAAGCCUAACUCCGAGUAUGACCAGUAUGCUAAAGGUGUUGAAAAGGAGAAAGCUUCCUUCUCACAUUACAACAUUUUGCCCCUUAAUAUUUCUGGUCCCACACAACCUGUAAUGGAAAUACCUGAGAUAAAAGCAGCAGUGGCCCUUCUUCGCAAGAUAAACAAUCUUCCAACGCCAAGGCCAGAUACGACUAACGGGCCUCAAGGGAUAGAUGAUGGACCUAUUGUUCGUGACUUGCUUGAUUGGCUCUGGCAAACAUUUGGAUUUCAGAAAGGUAACGUGGAAAACCAAAAGGAGCAUUUGAUUUUGCUGCUUGCUAACAUAGAUAUGAGAGGAAGUGGCAAUGUCCACCAGGGUGAAAGACAAAAUCACAUGAUACAGCGUGAUACAGUGGAUCACUUGAUGAAAAAAGUCUUUCAAAACUACAUUUCAUGGUGUCGGUAUCUGCAUUUGGAGUCAAACAUCAAAAUUCCACAUGAUGCCUCGACACAACAACCAGAGCUUCUUUACAUCGGGUUGUAUUUGCUGAUAUGGGGUGAAGCUUCUAAUGUUCGCUUUAUGCCUGAAUGCCUUUGUUAUAUCUUCCACCAUAUGGCAAGGGAUUUAUAUGACAUAAUAUCUGAUAGACGAGAAGAGUCAUUUGACCCACCCUUCCGGCGAGAGGGGAGUGAUGAUGCAUUUCUACAGUUGGUUAUCCAACCAAUCUACAAUGUUAUUCAUAAUGAAGCUACAAUGAGUAAGCGUGGUACUGUGAGCCACUCGAAGUGGAGAAACUAUGAUGACCUGAAUGAAUAUUUUUGGUCGAAGAAAUGCUUCAAACAACUUGGAUGGCCAAUGGAUCCAGCCUCUGACUUUUUUGCAGAUCCUACGAAAACUAAAAAUGACAUUGAGCGGCACGAUCAUUCGAUGAGCAGACGGAGGAUGUCCAAAACAAAUUUUGUUGAAGUUCGUACAUUUUUGCAUCUCUUCAGAAGUUUUGAUCGAAUGUGGGCCUUUUUCAUAUUAGCUUUCCAGGCCAUGGUAAUUAUUGCAUGGAGCCCUUCUGGAUCACUUUCUGCUAUAUUCGAGCCAGCUGUUUUCAGAAAUGUUAUGACAAUAUUUAUAACAGCUGCAUUUCUAAACUUCCUUCAGGCCACACUUGAGAUAGUUCUUAACUGGAAGGCUUGGAGGAGCCUGGUGUGCUCGCAGAUGAUACGGCAUGUCCUUAAAUUUGUUGUAGCUAUUGGCUGGUUGAUAAUUCUUCCAGUGACGUACUCCAGUUCCAUCCAAAAUCCCACAGGCCUUAUCAAGUUCUUCAGCAAUUGGAUUGGAAAUUUCCAGAGUCAAUCGAUAUAUAAUUUUGCAGUUGCUCUUUACAUGCUGCCGAACAUUUUCAGUGCCUUGUUUUUCAUAUUUCUACCAAUGCGAAGGGCACUAGAGCGUUCAAAUUCUCGCAUUGUUAGAUUUCUUUUGUGGUGGACGCAGCCAAAAUUAUAUGUCGCCCGAGGCAUGUAUGAGGACACAUGUUCACUUCUUAAGUACACGACAUUCUGGAUUCUAUUGCUUAUAUGCAAGCUCGCCUUCAGUUAUUACGUUGAGAUUUCUCCUCUCGUUGGACCUACCAGGACAAUUAUGUUUUUGGGACGGGGGAAAUACAUCUGGCACGAGUUCUUUCCAUACUUGCAGCAUAAUUUAGGUGUUGUUUUUACUAUAUGGGCACCAAUUGUCAUGGUAUACUUAAUGGAUACGCAAAUAUGGUACGCUAUUUUUUCAACAAUAUGUGGUGGAGUAAAUGGUGCCUUCAGCCGCUUGGGUGAGAUACGAACCCUUGGGAUGUUAAGAUCAAGAUUCGAGGCAAUCCCAACAGCGUUUGGUAAACAUCUUGUGCCUGGACAUGGUAGUCAACCAAAGAGACGUGAGCGUGAGAAGGAGGACAAAAAUUUGCAUAUUGAUAAGUUCUCCGACAUAUGGAAUGCAUUUAUUAUCUCUUUGCGAGAUGAAGACUUGAUAAACAAUAGGGAGAGAGAUUUAUUGAUUGUUCCAUCAUCUGCGGGUGACACUAGCGUUUUUCAAUGGCCUCCUUUCCUUCUCGCUAGCAAGAUUCCAAUGGCACUUGAUAUGGCAAAGAGCGUCAAGAAAAGGGAUGAAGAACUACGGAAGAGGAUAAACCAGGAUCCAUACACCUUUUAUGCCGUAAUAGAGUGUUAUGAGACUUUGUUAAAUAUUCUGUACAGCCUUAUGGCAGAAACAAGUGAUAAGAAAGUUGUUGAUCGAAUACGUGAAAGUCUUGAAGAUAGCAUAGAACGUCAGUCACUUGUGAGGGAAUUCCGAUUGGAUGAACUUCCUCAGCUAAGUGCUAAGUUCGAUAAGCUGCUAACUCUACUAUUGAAAACUGAAGAGGAGCAUGACACAACAAUAAAAACACAGAUUGCCAAUCUAUUACAAGAUACAAUGGAAAUCAUUACACAGGAUAUCAUGAAGAAUGGACAAGGUAUUUUGAAGGAUGAAAAUAGAGACAAUCAACUGUUUGCAAAUCUGAAUCUGGACUCAAUAAAGGAUGAAGCUUGGAGGGAGAAGUGUGUUAGGCUUCAGUUGUUGCUGACAACGAAAGAAUCUGCAAUUUAUGUGCCAACGAACUUGGAAGCUCGGCGCAGGAUCACUUUCUUUGCGAACUCACUAUUUAUGAAAAUGCCAAGGGCUCCACAGGUCCGCAGCAUGAUGUCCUUCAGUGUUCUAACUCCUUACUUCAAAGAGGAGGUGCUCUUUUCGACAGAAGAUCUGCAUGAAAAAAAUGAGGACGGGAUUUCUAUCCUGUUCUAUUUACGGAAAAUAUAUCCAGAUGAAUGGAAGAAUUGUCUUGAGCGCAUAAAAUUUGUACCAAAGGAUGAGGAGUCCCUUAAAUCAAGGAUGGAUGAGAUCUCACCCUGGGCAUCUUAUAGGGGACAAACGCUCACCAGAACUGUGAGAGGAAUGAUGUACUACAGGAGGGCGCUUGAGAUUCAAUGUAUUCAAGAUAAAAUUGAUAUUGCUAAAUUGGACCGCCAGAGAACAACAACAUCCUAUCAAGAGGGUGGAAACAUUGUAGAUAUGGCACUUGCCAUUGCUGAUAUCAAAUUCACCUAUGUUGUGUCUUGUCAAGUAUAUGGCAUGCAAAAGGUGUCCAAGAAUCUCAAAGAUAAAGCUUGCUAUCUGAACAUCCUUAACCUCAUGAUAAUGUACCCGUCCUUACGGAUUGCUUAUAUUGAUGAGGUAGAAGCUCCGACCAAAAAUGGAACAACAGAGAAGACUUAUUAUUCUGUUCUUGUCAAAGGAGUGGGUGAAAAGUAUGAUGAGGAAAUUUACCGCAUCAAGCUUCCUGGCAAACCCACAGAUAUUGGAGAGGGCAAACCUGAAAAUCAAAAUCAUGCCAUAAUUUUCACCAGGGGAGAAGCACUCCAGGCCAUUGAUAUGAAUCAGGAUAAUUACCUUGAAGAGGCAUUUAAAAUGAGAAAUGUGCUGGAGGAGUUCGGGAGUGACAAAUAUGGAAAGAGCAAGCCCACUAUAUUAGGUCUUCGGGAGCAUAUUUUUACUGGAAGUGUUUCAUCACUUGCUUGGUUUAUGUCAAACCAAGAGACCAGCUUUGUUACGAUUGGACAGCGUGUUUUGGCCAAUCCUCUCAAGGUUCGGUUCCAUUAUGGCCAUCCUGAUAUUUUUGAUAGACUCUUCCAUAUUACUAGGGGAGGCAUAAGUAAAGCUUCCAAGACUAUAAAUUUAAGCGAAGAUAUCUUUUCAGGUUUUAAUUCAACAAUGAGGGAAGGAAAUAUCACACAUCAUGAGUAUAUGCAAGUCGGUAAAGGACGUGAUGUGGGGAUGAACCAAAUUUCAAGCUUUGAAGCUAAGGUUGCCAAUGGAAAUGGUGAACAAACAUUGAGUCGUGACAUCUAUCGUCUUGGACGCAGAUUUGACUUCUAUAGAAUGCUGUCUUUCUACUUCACUACAGUUGGCUUUUAUUUCAGUAGCAUGGUUACUGUACUUACAGUCUAUGUAUUUUUGUAUGGGAGGUUAUAUCUCGUCAUGAGUGGUCUGGAAAAGUCUAUUUUGCUGGAUCCACGUAUUAAGGAGGACAUCAAGCCUCUUGAAAAUGCACUCGCUUCACAGUCUGUUUUCCAGCUUGGGUUGCUGCUUGUCCUCCCUAUGGUCAUGGAAGUUGGCUUAGAGAAGGGAUUCCGCACAGCUUUAGGAGAGUUCAUCAUCAUGCAGCUUCAGUUGGCCUCUGUGUUCUUCACAUUCCAGCUUGGCACCAAAACACACUACUAUGGGCGAACAAUACUCCAUGGUGGGGCUAAAUACAGACCUACAGGCCGUGGAUUUGUUGUGUACCACGCUAAGUUUGCUGAUAAUUAUCGCAUGUACUCCCGAAGCCACUUUGUUAAAGGACUUGAGCUGUUAAUACUUCUGGUUGUAUAUCUGGCCUAUGGGAAAUCCUACCGCAGCACGAGCCUGUACCUAUUUGUCACCUUCUCCAUAUGGUUCCUGGUGGCAUCUUGGCUAUUUGCACCAUUUAUCUUCAAUCCGUCAUGCUUUGAGUGGCAGAAGACGGUUGAUGACUGGACAGAUUGGAGGAAAUGGAUGGGUAACCGUGGGGGUAUCGGUAUGUCUGUGGAUCAAAGCUGGGAGGCUUGGUGGAUAGGUGAGCAGGAGCACCUCAGGAAAACCAGCAUUCGCGCUCUUGUCUUGGAAAUCCUCCUCUCUCUUCGUUUCUUGAUCUACCAGUAUGGUAUAGUGUAUCAUCUCAACAUUGCACGCCGCAGCACAAGCAUCCUGGUUUAUGGAUUGUCAUGGCUGGUUAUGCUGACGGUUCUAGUAGUUUUGAAGAUGGUUUCAAUAGGACGGCAGAAAUUUGGGACAGACUUGCAGCUUAUGUUCCGUAUCCUGAAGGGCCUUCUCUUUCUUGGCUUUAUCUCUGUGAUGUCAGUCCUAUUUGUUGUAUGCAGCCUCACGAUUUCAGAUGUCUUCGCUAGUAUUCUUGGGUUCCUACCAACUGGUUGGUGUAUUCUUCUGAUUGGGCAGGCAUGCGCUCCACUGAUUAAGAAGACUACGCUGUGGGACUCCAUCAUGGAGCUAGGGAGGGCAUACGACAACAUCAUGGGUCUUGUUCUCUUCCUUCCCAUCGGCUUCUUGUCGUGGUUUCCCUUCGUCUCAGAGUUCCAGACACGGUUGCUCUUCAACCAAGCCUUCAGCCGGGGCCUCCAGAUCUCAAGGAUCCUUGCCGGCCAGAAGGACAUUGGGGAGUUCGAGUGA
rnacentral:rRNA from 1 species